GGGGGCAUAGCUCAGUGGUAGAGCAUCCGAUUGCAGAUCGGAUUGUCCCCGGUUCAAACUCGGUUGCCCCCU
rnacentral:tRNA from 1 species